AAUCUCAAGGAAGCUCUUUGGGAGCCAGGAUUCCCAGCACUUAGCUGGUGGGCAAAGGGGCUCAACCCCUUCCCCACAUCCCACCUUCCCUCCUCCCAGUCUUCGGGAUUGCGGAGCUCCUGCCGGGAUCCAAGAGCAGGCUCUUGGAGGUCGAAGAAGGAUAUAACCUCCAGACCUGGAAUUUAAGACGCAAGAACCAGCCAGCAAAAGUGGCAGCCGAGCAUGCGAGGCAAGCAAUCACAGCCAACGUUCCUGGGAUCUGUGACCUAUUCAUCUUUCUAAGGGGACAGGGGACUGCUGAUGGCUUUUUAUUUGGAAGCUAUGCAACUUGAGGUUCUACUGAAAAGGAGAAGAGGCCGCUGGAGAUGGGAAGCCACGAAAACACACCUGGAGAUUGAAAGACUGAGUCAACUCCCCAGCAUUGGGGAGGUCUGAAUCCUGCCCCCCAGCAACAGCCUCAAAGAGUCAUCGUUAGAGAGCCUGCAGAGUCCGCUGGGACCACGCGAGGUCCUAAAGGGUCACUUCUCUUGUCUUCCAGAACCGCUGUGAAGCUACAGAAGCGGAGUAGCUCUCCAGGGCACUGGAAAGCAUCAAAAGAUGCUCUUCCCCAGUGUGCACAUUGGGUCUCACUUGUGAUAUCAACAGUACUGAUGUUUAAGAAAAGCCUGCGGUUGGUGGUGGGAGUAAAGAGCCUUGCUCACACUUACAGCCUGAUGUAUCUGUUCCAGUUUUGUUUUUCAUGGCUCUAGAGAAGUGGGUCCCCCUUCUUUGGGGUCCUGGUAUGUAUGGCAGCUGCAAGAGGUGACACGUGGGAUUAAACAGAAUAAUUAGGUACUUAAUCAUUUAUUCAUCUCUGAAAGUUCUAAGCUUAGAGUUAUUAUGUAAAACCAUUCUUUUGGAAUAGCUUCAGUGAUGUGUGUGCAUAUGAUAAACAUAUGCAAACAUUUAGCCAUAUUCACAUACAGGUUGGACAUCUCUAAUCUGAACAUCUAACAUUAAGAGAAAAAAAAAAGCUUCAACACCCGAAAGGUUUUGAAUGGCAACAAAAUUAGACAAGUGGAAGAUUUAAUAACUGACUUCAUAUGGGUCAAUGAAACUUUGUUUCAUGUACAAAAUUAUUAAAAUACUGUACAAAAUUACCUACAAAUAAUGUGUGUGCAUAUCUAUAUAUUCAUAUAAACACAAAUUAUGGAUUUUGAGUUAAAACUCAUAUUCCAUACAUAAGCUAUUUCAUUAUAAGUAGUCCAAAAUCUGAAAAAAGUUCAAAAUCCAAAAACUGUCUCCUCCUCCUCCUCCUCCUCCUCCUCCUCCUCCUCCUNNNNNNNNNNNNNNNNNNNNNNNNNNNNNNNNNNNNAGAAAUCUGCCUGCCUCUGCCUCCCGAGUGCUGGGAUUAAAGGCGUGCACCACCACGCCCGGCAAAACUGUCUCUUCUUAAGCUUUUGGAUAAAGAGAGUCUUAAACUGUAUAGAUUUCUAGAUUUUAACACAGUAGCUACUAGCCUAUUCCACACGUAUUUCUUGUAUUCAGCUCUUAUCCUAACUCUGUGAAAGUAUUACUAUCAUGGUAUGUAGCAAAUGUGGAAGGACUGACUAGUAUACAAGAAAGACCCAAAUGUCUGAUGAAUGACCACUGGACACUUUAUAGUAUUUAUGAAUGGAUGGAACCAACUUUCAGUUCAUCCCAACCACACCGGUUAGCACUUCAAGUCAUUUGUGGGACAUAUCCAUCAUUGCAAGGGUUCUGUUGGUCAGCACUGGAGACCCUAGGUCAAGUUAGUUCACCAGUGAUACUAUGUGUCCUCUUAUGUACAGAGUGGUGUUCCUAUGCUCAAGAGAAUGCUGAGCAGCCAGCAGUCACUGGUCACGGUAGUACCAUUCCCAAACGGGAACAAUCAGAAACAUUUCCAGACAAUGUGCAUUGAUUGUUGGGAAAGGAAAAAGAAUUUCCCCUAGUUGAGAAUGAAUGCUCUGUUCUCAACCUAGUGGUUGUAAUCUGACAGAGGACUCAUGUAAGUAGCUUUAAAUACUUUGAACUGAAAUUUCCUCACUGAAAAAAUAUAACACAUAAUUUCUUGGUGUUUUGUGACUGUUAAAAACUCUGAUAAUUUGCCAGAGAGGGGAAGCACAGUAAAGAUUAGAACACAGCCCUUUGUCUCUAGCUAAAGAACUCUGCUUUGGCUAAUAUGGCAAGUGGAAGCUUUGAGACAACAAGCUCUGUUGUCUCCUCACUUGCUCCGUGACUUUAGGCCCCCAUGUUUAAAUAACUCAAGGACUGAGAAAAUGACGUUUCAUUAAUUGUUUAGAUAUCAAACUCUGGGGAUUUGGAAUCCUUAAAAUAUUCUAUAUGAAAAAAGUCACAUGGAAAUCUAGUGCUAGAAAAGCUUCCUAAAAAUACAAACACACACACACACACACACACACACACACACACACACACACACACACACACGACCUGCAAAUCUGGAACUAGCUGUUUGCCACCCCAGGGCCCGCUUACUAUAUGUGUACAGUAUGGGACACUUAGCUGCUGCCUGAGAGCCUCCUCCAUUCUAGUCAUCAGCCCAGUCAUGAAUGUUUCAUUCUGCACACUAAUCUACAUAGAUUUUUUUUAAUAGAAGGCAAUUAACCAAAAGUUUCUAGACAAACAUCAUUUUUCUAGGUUUCUUGUUCAUCAAAAAAAAUCUUAAUUAUUUUGAAAAAGGAAGCUGCCAUUAUGAAUCAAUCGAACCAUCCUAACACCAAUAAGCCCAAGCUAAGAAUGAUGUCAAAAACGGUCUCAAAGGAAGAACUCUCUAAAUUAGUGCUAUUGGAGGGAAAGACAAUUGAAAAUUAAUAAAAUACUUUAAUUAAAAUAUGAGUU
ensembl:antisense